AAAGUAAUACAAUCCUUAGCUUUCAUUUAACAAUUUUAUUUUGUAGCUGGAUGAUAAGCAGAAACAGUACAAAGAUACAUCUCGAAUAAUUUUUCAAAAAGCUCUUGGAUUCAGCGGUGAAACAGAGAAGAAGGCAGUUGAUGAAGAGGAGCCAAAAACAGAUCAGGAGAUGUAUUCAAUCCUGCAGAGCGCUUUCCAGGAAGCAAAUUCAAAUGGAAUUGCUCAAAUAACCCUUCCAUCUAGUUUGCAAGACAGCAUUCUGGAUAUGUGUUCGGAACUUGUCACUAAAGACCUUCAGUUUUUCGUAAGAGGAAAUAAACUGGUCAUUUCUAAGAAAGCUUGAUAGAAGAAUCGUCAUUCUGCAUAUGAAUUCAUUCUAUAUAUACAGAGUGUACCCCGAAAGCUGUAACAGCCAAAGACCAUAGAUUCAACAAAAAUUUGCAACUAUGUCCUGUAAAAUGUUCUUAUAUCGACCUUAGUUUUCGUGAUCUAUCAAUUUUUCUAUAUUUUUGAAAAACGUCAAUAACAAAAAAAAUCGCUCAGACAAAAUCCAAUUUUAAAGAUAUGGUUGGAAAGAGGAAGACAUUUUUAAUAAGAUUCAUAUAAUUUGUUCCUUUAUUUUACGUUUUUGAACUUUCUAUGAGCGCUCAAACUUGAAAAAGUGCAUUCGUCGAGUUCAAAGUCAAAUUUCAAACAAUUUUUUUCGUUUUUUUUCAUGUUGACAAUAUAUUUUUAAUAAUUGAAAAACUUUGCCAUUUUGUAAGCUUUAGAAUGAGUAUAAACUUGUUAGGAAAAUGUCAAUACCAAAGUAAUGAAAACUGCAAAUAUCGUGGUCUUCGGUUGUUACAUCUUUCAUGGGACAUUCUGUAUUAGUGUUCUACAUUAAUCAAAUAUAUAAUUAUUUGAAAAUUUUCAUACUUUUAUACUGUAGUUUUUGUUUUCCAUAAUUUUUCUCUGAUUAUCAUCGUAAGAAGGACGUCACUAUGACAUUUCAGCCCAGAUUCAUAUUAUUAAUGUGCGGUGUCAUUAAUCUCCAAUCUGCCUGUACCAUCGGUUCGUGUUUCAUUGAAUGCUCUUAUUUGGAAAAUCACAUUCUGUUUACUGUGAUUCAAUUUAAAAGUUCAUUUUUUGUUCCUUCUGUUAUUAAGUUUGAAUUUUUGGUUAAAAUCAGACGCUUGUUGUAGUUCAAUCAAAACUUUAUAGAAGUUAGGUAACAGAGAUUUGUCCAAUUCAUGGCAAAUAUGUGUGUUAAUAGUGCAUUUUUGGAAUAUUAUGUUCUACUUUUAAUAUUAUUUAAUUUAUCGAUUUUUUCAAAAGAAAUUACAUUGUUUCCUUGCUUUUGUCGUUCAAAUCAAUUAUCUUCUUAUAUUAUUGCAACGCAAUCUUGAUUAUUUCAAUCAAUAAUUAAAGGGGCUGAUUAUUCGAUUUAUGUAUUUUUGUUAGCAUCUUAAUCUUUGAUUUAUGAGUUCUAGUUAUUCUUUGUUUUUUAAAGAUUUUAUAGUACAUGAUAAUAAUUGUUUUUCGUAGGAGCUCCUACCCUCUAAAAAGUAUGUCGUUUUUAAGUUCUUGUUUUGAUAAUAUGUUUGAAAAAAUUUCAUCUUUGUGCAUUGACAUUUUUAUCCAAUUGUGUUUUUUCAAGUUUAAUUAAAAUGGUGGAAUAAAGUUUGUGUAUAUUCUUAA